rnacentral:rRNA from 1 species
GAUGAACGCUGGCGGCGUGCCUAAUACAUGCAAGUCGAGCGAACAGAUGAGGAGCUUGCUCCUCUGACGUUAGCGGCGGACGGGUGAGUAACACGUGGAUAACCUACCUAUAAGACUGGGAUAACUUCGGGAAACCGGAGCUAAUACCGGAUAAUAUAUUGAACCGCAUGGUUCAAUAGUGAAAGACGGUUUUGCUGUCACUUAUAGAUGGAUCCGCGCCGCAUUAGCUAGUUGGUAAGGUAACGGCUUACCAAGGCAACGAUGCGUAGCCGACCUGAGAGGGUGAUCGGCCACCCUGGAACUGAGACACGGUCCAGACUCCUACGGGAGGCAGCAGUAGGGAAUCUUCCGCAAUGGGCGAAAGCUUGACGGAGCAACGCCGCGUGAGUGAUGAAGGUCUUCGGAUCGUAAAACUCUGUUAUUAGGGAAGAACAAAUGUGUAAGUAACUAUGCACGUCUGGACGGUACCUAAUCAGAAAGCCACGGCUAACUACGU